UACGGGGGGAACGAGUGUUAUUCGUAAUGAUUGGGCGUAAAGGGCGUGUAGACGGUUUUACAAGUUUAAGUUUAGUCUAAUUAGUUAGGCUAACUGUUAUACUGUGAUCUAGAAUUAUAUAGAGGUUGGUGGAAUUUUGUAAGUAGGGGUGAAAUGCGGUACUUCCAGGAGACCAUCAACAGGCGGAGGCGACCAAUCAUAUAUAAUUGACGUUGAGGCGCAAAAACGUAGGGAGCAAACAGG
rnacentral:rRNA from 1 species